GACGAACGCUGGCGGCGUGCUUAACACAUGCAAGUCGAACGGAAAGGCCCUGCUUUUGUGGGGUGCUCGAGUGGCGAACGGGUGAGUAACACGUGAGUAACCUGCCCUUGACUUUGGGAUAACUUCAGGAAACUGGGGCUAAUACCGGAUAUGAGCUCCUGCUGCAUGUUGGGGGUUGGAAAGUUUCGGCGGUUGGGGAUGGACUCGCGGCUUAUCAGCUUGUUGGUGGGGUAGUGGCUUACCAAGGCUUUGACGGGUAGCCGGCCUGAGAGGGGGACCGGCCACAUUGGGACUGAGAUACGGCCCAGACUCCUACGGGAGGCAGCAGUGGGGAAUAUUGCACAAUGGGCGGAAGCCUGAUGCAGCAACGCCGCGUGCGGGAUGACGGCCUUCGGGUUGUAAACCGCUUUCGCCUGUGACGAAGCGGGAGUGACGGUAAUGGGUAAAGAAGCACCGGCUAACUACGUG
rnacentral:rRNA from 1 species